rnacentral:rRNA from 1 species
GUCUAAAAUGACUCUCGGCAACGGAUAUCUCGGCUCUUGCAUCGAUGAAGAACGUAGCGAAAUGCGAUACUUGGUGUGAAUUGCAGAAUCCCGUGAACCAUCGAGUCUUUGAACGCAAGUUGCGCCCGAAGCCAUUAGGCCAAGGGCACGCCUGCCUGGGUGUCACUAA